rnacentral:rRNA from 1 species
CCUACGGGAGGCAGCAGUAGGGAAUCUUAGACAAUGGGCGAAAGCCUGAUCUAGCCAUGCCGCGUGAGUGAAGAAGGCCCUAGGGUCGUAAAGCUCUUUCGCCAGGGAUGAUAAUGACAGUACCUGGUAAAGAAACCCCGGCUAACUCCGUGCCAGCAGCCGCGGUAAUACGGAGGGGGUUAGCGUUGUUCGGAAUUACUGGGCGUAAAGCGUACCUAGGCGGAUUAGUCAGUCAGAGGUGAAAUCCCAGGGCUCAACCCUGGAACUGCCUUUGAUACUGCUAGUCUUGAGUUCGAGAGAGGUGAGUGGAAUUCCAAGUGUAGAGGUGAAAUUCGUAUAUAUUUGGAGGAACACCAGUGGCGAAGGCGGCUCACUGGCUCGAUACUGACGCUGAGGUACGAAAGUGUGGGGAGCAAACAGGAUUAGAUACCCUGGUAGUCCACACCGUAAACGAUGAAUGCCAGUCGUCGGGUUGCUUACCGAUUCGGUGACACACCUAACGGAUUAAGCAUUCCGCCUGGGGAGUACGGYCGCAAGAUUAAAACUCAAAKGAAUUGACGG